GACUGCUCCAGUGGCUUAGUGAUUAGAUCAUCUGCCUCAGGUGCAGGAGAUCGUGGGUUUGAACCCCAGCCGAGUCA